AAAGAAGAUGAUGAUAGAUAAGACAGGGACAUCUGCAUUCCAUUGGAGUAUGAUGAUUUGUCUGUGGGAAUAUCUCUGAUUUUUU
rnacentral:snoRNA from 1 species